rnacentral:tRNA from 1 species
GGAUUGUGGCUCAGUGGUAGAGCACUCACUUAGCACAGGUGGGACCUGGAUUCGAUCCUCAGCACCA